GAUGAACGCUGGCGGCGUGCCUAAUACAUGCAAGUCGAGCGAACAGACGAGGAGCUUGCUCCUCUGAUGUUAGCGGCGGACGGGUGAGUAACACGUGGAUAACCUACCUAUAAGACUGGGAUAACUUCGGGAAACCGGAGCUAAUACCGGAUAACAUGUUGAACCGCAUGGUUCAACAGUGAAAGACGGUCUUGCUGUCACUUAUAGAUGGAUCCACGCCGCAUUAGCUAGUUGGUAAGGUAACGGCUUACCAAGGCAACGAUGCGUAGCCGACCUGAGAGGGUGAGCGGCCACACUGGAACUGAGACACGGUCCAGACUCCUACGGGAGGCAGCAGUAGGGAAUCUUCCGCAAUGGGCGAAAGCCUGACGGAGCAACGCCGCGUGAGUGAAGAAGGUCUUCGGAUCGUAAAACUCUGUUAUUAGGGAAGAACAAAUGUGUAAGUAACUAUGCACGUCUUGACGGUACCUAAACAGAAAGCCACGGCUAACUACGUG
rnacentral:rRNA from 1 species